GCACUCACUUCAGCAGCACAAAUGUAAAAAUUGAAACGACAGAGAUUAGCACGGCCCUUGCACAAGGAGGACACAGAAAUUGGUGAAGCGUCAGAACAUCUC